CGUGCAGGCGGUGCGGUAAGUUAGGCGUGAAAUCUCCCGGCUCAACUGGGAGAGGUCGUCUAAUACUACCGUACUUGAGAGCAGAAGAGAAGAUGGAAUUCCCGGUGUAGUGGUGAAAUGCGUAGAUAUCGGGAGGAACACCAGUGGCGAAGGCGAUCUUCUGGUCUGUUUCUGACGCUCAGACGAGCAGCUAGGUAGUAAACG
rnacentral:rRNA from 1 species